rnacentral:rRNA from 1 species
UACAGAUGUCUCAAGCGUUGUUCGGAUUCAUUGGGCGUAAAGGGUGCGUAGGUGGCGCUGUAAGUCGGGUGUGAAAUUUCGGAGCUUAACUCCGAAACUGCAUUCGAUACUGCGGUGCUUGAGGACUGGAGAGGAGACUGGAAUUCAUGGUGUAGCAGUGAAAUGCGUAGAGAUCAUGAGGAAGACCAGUGGCGAAGGCGGGUCUCUGGACAGUUCCUGACACUGAGGCACGAAGGCCAGGGGAGCAAACGGG